rnacentral:rRNA from 1 species
CAGAUGAAGUGCUUGCACUUCUGACGUUAGCGGCGAACGGGUGAGUAACACGUAAGGAAUCUACCUAUAAGCGGGGGAUAACAUUCGGAAACGGGUGCUAAUACCGCAUAAUAUCUUCUUCCGCAUGGAAGAAGAUUGAAAGACGGCUCUGCUGUCACUUAUAGAUGACCUUGCGGUGCAUUAGUUAGUUGGUGGGGUAAUGGCCUACCAAGACGAUGAUGCAUAGCCGACCUGAGAGGGUGAUCGGCCACAUUGGGACUGAGACACGGCCCAAACUCCUACGGGAGGCAGCAGUAGGGAAUCUUCCGCAAUGGGCGAAAGCCUGACGGAGCAAUGCCGCGUGAGUGAAGAAGGCCUUCGGGUCGUAAAACUCUGUUAUAAGAGAAGAACAAAUUGUAGAGUAACUGCUACAGUCUUGACGGUAUCUUAUCAGAAAGCCACGGCUAACUACGUGCCAGCAGCCGCGGUAAUACGUAGGUGGCAAGCGUUGUCCGGAUUUAUUGGGCGUAAAGGGAGCGCAGGUGGUUUCUUAAGUCUGAUGUGAAAGCCCACGGCUUAACCGUGGAGGGUCAUUGGAAACUGG